rnacentral:lncRNA from 1 species
GCCGCCGUGCACAAGGUCACCGGCGACCGCCACCCAUGGAUCGCCGACGACCUCAACAAGGGCAGGCUCGACAACUUCUACUGGCUGCUCGCCGUCAUCUGCCUCGCCAACCUCUUGGUCUACCUCGUCGCCGCCAGGUGGUACAAGUACAAGGCCGGACGACCCGGCGCCGACGGCAGCGUCAACGGCGUCGAGAUGGCCGACGAGCCCAUGCUCCACUGAUGGAUGAUCGACGAGGCACGCGACGACGUACGUACCACCUAUACCAAAAGCAUGCAUAUCCGUCCGAUCGUCGAUC